AUGGAUCCUGGACUGGUUUGCCGUAUUUGUGAGCUUCAGGCUGAUGGAACGCAUUUUGGAGUUGUAACUUGUAGAGCAUGUGCUGUGUUUUUCAGAAGAUCUACCACAUCAAAAUGGAUCAAAAGAAAGUGUAUGGCUAGAAGUGAGGAUAAAUUGGUAUGUUCCUGUAAGCCAUGUCGACUAAGAAAGUGUAUAGAAAACGGCAUGGAUUCUUCAAAAUUCCAAUAUAAUCGCGAUACAAUUCCGAAAAAACCGAAAGCCCGACCAAUAAUUUCAUAUUACGUGGGACGACCGGAAUUUUUAAUAUUUUUCGAUGACUCAAAUGUUACCACACAGAAGACAUUUAUAGAUGUUCAAAAUCUAGUUUUUGAAGCUUCACGGCAUUUGAGUCACGGUUGGCAAUAGCCCAUUCAUGCCGAAAAUCAGCUGAAAAAGUUGACUCUUGGCUUUAAGUUAAUGCAGUUUGAUACUCAAAAUAUAACGUUUUAUUCGAAUUUUGGAAAAUCUGAGUUUAUGGAUACUAUCGAAUAAUAUUUCGUAACUGUUGCCAAAUGGAUCGCACAUUUUGACGAGUUUCGAAAACUUGGAAAUUUUCUUCAGAUAAUAAUUGUCCAAGCGAUUUGGCAUGUUUGGAGCAAAGUUCACAAAUGUGCCAGUACAGCACUUUACCGAAAAUCAAAUCCUAAUGCAAAGCCGGAGCAGAAAAUCUUUCGAAAUAUGUGUAUGGAUAGGAAUCUAGGGAAGUUUGAUACAAGUUGGAUGAGUGAUUAUUCUACGGAACAUGUUAUCAGAUUCAUGCUCACUCCGAACGUGUAUGAUUUUGAAAUUAUAGAAGCUUUGGGUAAACUGGACCCAACAGAUGUAGAAUCAACAUUCAUGUUCGCUCAACUUUGCUUUGAAUAUGCUGGAAAACGAUUUCAAGGAAACAUUUUGCAAAUCACUGAUCGUUUUCAACAAGUCCUGUCAAAUGAUCUACAUCUCUAUUACACUAACGAUCAGAGAAGAAAUCGCUAUUCUCAGCGUUUGGCAGAUCUCAUGAAAGUUAACAAUUUGAUGCAGAGAUCCAUCUGGGAAGCUCGGCCUCCACGAGAAAUAGGACGUGUCUUUAACAUUUCAAAAAUAGAAUUUUCGCAUCCCGAAAUGUUUGUGGAUUCUGGAUUCACCUAACU